rnacentral:rRNA from 1 species
CUAGAUAGGCAAUUUUUCCUGGAAUGGUUUUUUGUUUAAAUGUUUUUCGCCUAAGGAUGGGUCUGCGGCCGAUUAGGUAGUUGGUUAGGUAAUGGCUUACCAAGCCGUUGAUCGGUACGGGUUGUGAGAGCAAGAGCCCGGAGAUGGAACCUGAGACAAGGUUCCAGGCCCUACGGGGUGCAGCAGGCGCGAAACCUCCGCAAUGUGAGAAAUCGCGACGGGGGGAUCCCAAGUGCCAUUCUUAACGGGAUGGCUUUUCAUUAGUGUAAAGAGCUUUUGGAAUAAGAGCUGGGCAAGACCGGUGCCAGCCGCCGCGGUAACACCGGCAGCUCUAGUGGUAGCAAUUUUUAUUGGGCCUAAAGCGUCCGUAGCCGGUUUAAUAAGUCUCUGGUGAAAUCCUGUAGCUUAACUGUGGGAAUUGCUGGAGAUACUAUUAGACUUGAGACCGGGAGAGGUUAGAGGUACUCCCAGGGUAGAGGUGAAAUUCUGUAAUCCUGGGAGGACCGCCUGUUGCGAAGGCGUCUAACUGGAACGGUUCUGACGGUGAGGGACGAAAGUUAGGGGCGCGAACCGGAUUAGAUACCCGGGUAGUCCUAACUGUAAACGAUGCGGACUUGGUGUUGGGGUGGCUUUGAGCUGCUCCAGUGCCGAAGGGAAGCUGUUAAGUCCGCCGCCUGGGAAGUACGGUCGCAAGACUGAAACUUAA